rnacentral:rRNA from 1 species
GAUGAACGCUGGCGGCGUGCUUAACACAUGCAAGUCGAACGUGAGGGGGUAGCAAUAUCCUUGAAAGUGGCGCACGGGUGAGUAACACGUAGGUAACCUGCCCUGGAGCGGGGGAUAACAGUUGGAAACGGCUGCUAAUACCGCAUGAGACUGGGAGGCCGGGAGGCUUUCUGGUGAAAAUCUUGGUGCUUCAGGAGGGGCCUGCGGCCGAUUAGCUAGUUGGUGGGGUAAAGGCCUACCAAGGCGACGAUCGGUAGCUGGUCUGAGAGGACGAUCAGCCACACGGGAACUGAGACACGGUCCCGACUCCUACGGGGGGCAGCAGUGAGGAAUAUUGGGCAAUGGGCGAAAGCCUGACCCAGCAACGCCGCGUGGAGGAAGACGGCCUUCGGUUGUAAACGUCCUUUACGGGGUAAGAGGAAGGACGGUACCCGAGAAUAAGUCACGGCUAACUACGUGCCAGCAGCCGCGGUAAAAGUGUAGUGUA